UUGAACGCUGGCGGCAUGCCUUACACAUGCAAGUCGCACGGCAGCAUGAUCUAGCUUGCUAGAUUGAUGGCGAGUGGCGAACGGGUGAGUAAUACAUCGGAACGUGCCCUGUAGUGGGGGAUAACUAGUCGAAAGAUUAGCUAAUACCGCAUACGACCUGAGGGUGAAAGUGGGGGACCGCAAGGCCUCAUGCUAUAGGAGCGGCCGAUGUCUGAUUAGCUAGUUGGUGAGGUAAAGGCUCACCAAGGCGACGAUCAGUAGCUGGUCUGAGAGGACGAUCAGCCACACUGGGACUGAGACACGGCCCAGACUCCUACGGGAGGCAGCAGUGGGGAAUUUUGGACAAUGGGCGAAAGCCUGAUCCAGCAAUGCCGCGUGUGUGAAGAAGGCCUUCGGGUUGUAAAGCACUUUUGUCCGGAAAGAAAUGGCUCUGGUUAAUACCUGGGGUCGAUGACGGUACCGGAAGAAUAAGGACCGGCUAACUACGUG
rnacentral:rRNA from 1 species